rnacentral:rRNA from 1 species
AACGAACGCUGGCGGCAUGCCUAACACAUGCAAGUCGAACGAGACCUUCGGUUCUAGUGGCGCACGGGUGCGUAACGCGUGGGAAUCUACCCUUGGGUUCGGAAUAACUUCGGGAAACUGAAGCUAAUACCGGAUGAUGACGUAAGUCCACAGAUUUAUCGCCCAAGGAUGAGCCCGCGUAGGAUUAGCUAGUUGGUGAGGUAAAGGCUCACCAAGGCUACGAUCCUUAGCUGGUCUGAGAGGAUGAUCAGCCACACUGGGGCUGAGACACGGCCCAGACUCCUACGGGAGGCAGCAGUGGGGAAUAUUGGACAAUGGGCGAAAGCCUGAUCCAGCAAUGCCGCGUGAGUGAUGAAGGCCUUAGGGUUGUAAAGCUCUUUUACCCGGGAUGAUAAUGACAGUACCGGGAGAAUAAGCUCCGGCUAACUUCGUGCCAGCCGCCGCCGUAA